AUUAAUUUAUCUUAAAAAAAGAAUUUGUUUUGAAAACAAAAAAUAUUAAUAAUUAAAAUUAAUAUAAUAAAACUUUUAA
rnacentral:tRNA from 1 species